rnacentral:lncRNA from 1 species
AUGUGUCCUCGCCGGUCGCCGCGGCAGCCAGUGAUGCCCGAGCGGCGGGUUCCCAGGCCCAGGUGUGGGCGCCACCGCCCACCAUGCGCCAAGCCCAGAGCCUGGUUGAAUCGUUCGCCACCUUGUCUACCCAUUUUGGCCAUUAUCCUGCCACCUCCAAAUCCUGUUUUUGACACUUCUCGGGAGAGAGAGAAAACGGAAAGAUAAAGGAAUAAACUCCUCGUGGUCGUAGUUAGUGGAUGAGUCUUCCCUUUAAAUGCUGCAAAGUGCUGCAUAGUAGAUGUUAAAUGAAAGUCAGAAAGAAUCAAAUGUGCUGCAAAUAAUUGAAGUUCAACCCAAUGGAAAUAGAUUAAAAGAGUGAAAGUCACUGGUCUCAAAGAAUCUACGGAAUUCAGCAUUUUGGAAAUCACAUAGCAAUUUUGGGUAGGUAUUCACAUGCACUAAAAAACCAGGCAAACAUCCGACUCCCAGGAUAAAGUGACUGAGAGCAGUAGAAGACUUGUUGAGCCGUAAGGAAUAAGAGGAAAAUUAUGUUAUGAAGUGCAGGAACAGCACAGACCCAGACGAGGGGAUGCAGCCCAGAGCCAGUAACCCGGUGCCUCCUCCUCCCCAGGAAGCAGCGCUGGCUGAUCCCCAGAUACCAUGAUCACACCGUCCCAGGUCCUGAGAGCGCCUCAUAGGUAGACAGUUCUUUGGGACUUUUGGGACGCAGCACUUGAAGAGAGGUCUACCUAAACUUUCCUCCUGGGAGCCUGUGAUCAUUUGAAAGUAACAGAAGAAAGUUGUCAGGCUGAGGAAAGUUUCAACAGGCACUUGGUGAGAAUGGGAAGCAUCCAUUCAUUGCGAAAUCGCGGGGACAGAGGAGGAAUUCACGGGAUCAGAGCACUGAGAAACUCCAGAGGCUUCUGGUUCACCGCCCUGAUUCCACAGAUGUGGGUCAGAGGCAGAGAUGGAAGUUGGAAUGGACAAGCCUGCCCUCUCAUCGGCUCUCCAUGGCUCUGUCCUCAGGCUGUUUCUGCAAUUUGACAUGAGGCCUGGCCCCAGGGAAACCAGUGGGGCCUCAUCUCCUCCCUGUGCUGCUCUGAGAUGGAGUCUUCUCAGGGUCAGUCCAGCUCUGGAGCCCCUCUCCAGCUCGGUCACCAAAGCUGUCUGGUCCCAGGGCGGUGCUGAGUGACAGGCACACCAGCCAGUCCAAUUGGCCAUUUCAUACCCAAUGCAUGUGACUGAUAAAGAGAUAACACCCUGUCUCCAAGACACAGGCUUUACAUAAACAGCUUUAAUGACCUCUUCACCUAGAGACAAGACUCCUUAGUGGUGGAACCUCAGGCAUCCGUGCAGGAUGUAAGAAAGCUCCCGUAUAUACAUGAACUGAGAAGUGUGUAGAAGAAUAAAUACUGUAAUAGGUAAUAAAAUGUAUGUAUUUUUAUUUA